rnacentral:rRNA from 1 species
GGGUUGUGAGGUUAAGCGACUAAGCGUACACGGUGGAUGCCCUGGCAGUCAGAGGCGAUGAAGGACGUGCUAAUCUGCGAUAAGCGCCGGUAAGGUGAUAUGAACCGUUAUAACCGGCGAUUUCCGAAUGGGGAAACCCAGUGUGAUUCGUCACACUAUCAUUAACUGAAUCCAUAGGUUAAUGAGGCGAACCGGGGGAACUGAAACAUCUAAGUACCCCGAGGAAAAGAAAUCAACCGAGAUUCCCCCAGUAGCGGCGAGCGAACGGGGAGGAGCCCAGAGCCUGAAUCAGCAUGUGUGUUAGUGGAAGCGUCUGGAAAGGCGCGCGAUACAGGGUGACAGCCCCGUACACAAAAGCGCAUGUGCUGUGAGCUCGAUGAGUAGGGCGGGACACGUGGUAUCCUGUCUGAAUAUGGGGGGACCAUCCUCCAAGGCUAAAUACUCCUGACUGACCGAUAGUGAACCAGUACCGUGAGGGAAAGGCGAAAAGAACCCCGGCGAGGGGAGUGAAAAAGAACCUGAAACCGUGUACGUACAAGCAGUGGGAGCCCCACCACUAAGCCAGUGGUGAACUCCACAUACGCAUCCUUUGCUGAGGAUACGGUUAACGGAGCGAAAGCGACGUUCAACCGCAAAAGAAGCAGAGGGGGCUUAGUGGUGGGGUGACUGCGUACCUUUUGUAUAAUGGGUCAGCGACUUAUAUUCUGUAGCAAGGUUAACCGAAUAGGGGAGCCGGAGGGAAACCGAGUCUUAAUUGGGCGUUAAGUUGCAGGGUAUAGACCCGAAACCCGGUGAUCUAGCCAUGGGCAGGUUGAAGGUUGGGUAACACUAACUGGAGGACCGAACCGACUAAUGUUGAAAAAUUAGCGGAUGACCUGUGGCUGGGGGUGAAAGGCCAAUCAAACCGGGAGAUAGCUGGUUCUCCCCGAAAGCUAUUUAGGUAGCGCCUCGUGAAUUCAUCUCCGGGGGUAGAGCACUGUUUCGGCUAGGGGGCCAUCCCGGCUUACCAACCCGAUGCAAACUGCGAAUACCGGAGAAUGUUAUCACGGGAGACACACGGCGGGUGCUAACGUCCGUCGUGAAGAGGGAAACAACCCAGACCGCCAGCUAAGGUCCCAAAGUCAUGGUUAAGUGGGAAACGAUGUGGGAAGGCCCAGACAGCCAGGAUGUUGGCUUAGAAGCAGCCAUCAUUUAAAGAAAGCGUAAUAGCUCACUGGUCGAGUCGGCCUGCGCGGAAGAUGUAACGGGGCUAAACCAUGCACCGAAGCUGCGGCAGCGAACGUAUCACUUAAAGCGAUUCAGCGGGUUACGAUUGACGGAGCGAAGCGACGUCAAAGCGUAUACAAAGUCGAGUCGGUUUAAGGAUACGUUCGUUGGGUAGGGGAGCGUUCUGUAAGCCUGUGAAGGUGUGUCGUGAGGCAUGCUGGAGGUAUCAGAAGUGCGAAUGCUGACAUAAGUAACGAUAAAGCGGGUGAAAAGCCCGCUCGCCGGAAGACCAAGGGUUCCUGUCCAACGUUAAUCGGGGCAGGGUGAGUCGACCCCUAAGGCGAGGCCGAAAGGCGUAGUCGAUGGGAAACGGGUUAAUAUUCCCGUACUUGGUGUUACUGCGAAGGGGGGACGGAGAAGGCUAUGUUGGCCGGGCGACGGUUGUCCCGGUUUAAGCGUGUAGGUGUGUGUUCCAGGUAAAUCCGGUUCACUUUAACACUGAGGCGUGACGACGAGGCACUACGGUGCUGAAGCAACAAAUGCCCUGCUUCCAGGAAAAGCCUCUAAGCAUCAGGUAACAUCAAAUCGUACCCCAAACCGACACAGGUGGUCAGGUAGAGAAUACCAAGGCGCUUGAGAGAACUCGGGUGAAGGAACUAGGCAAAAUGGUGCCGUAACUUCGGGAGAAGGCACGCUGACAUGUAGGUGAAGUGAUUUACUCAUGGAGCUGAAGUCAGUCGAAGAUACCAGCUGGCUGCAACUGUUUAUUAAAAACACAGCACUGUGCAAACACGAAAGUGGACGUAUACGGUGUGACGCCUGCCCGGUGCCGGAAGGUUAAUUGAUGGGGUCAGCGCAAGCGAAGCUCCUGAUCGAAGCCCCGGUAAACGGCGGCCGUAACUAUAACGGUCCUAAGGUAGCGAAAUUCCUUGUCGGGUAAGUUCCGACCUGCACGAAUGGCGUAAUGAUGGCCAGGCUGUCUCCACCCGAGACUCAGUGAAAUUGAACUCGCUGUGAAGAUGCAGUGUACCCGCGGCAAGACGGAAAGACCCCGUGAACCUUUACUAUAGCUUGACACUGAACAUUGAGCCUUGAUGUGUAGGAUAGGUGGGAGGCUUUGAAGUGUGGACGCCAGUCUGCAUGGAGCCGACCUUGAAAUACCACCCUUUAAUGUUUGAUGUUCUAACGUGGACCCGUUAUCCGGGUUGCGGACAGUGUCUGGUGGGUAGUUUGACUGGGGCGGUCUCCUCCUAAAGAGUAACGGAGGAGCACGAAGGUUGGCUAAUCCUGGUCGGACAUCAGGAGGUUAGUGCAAUGGCAUAAGCCAGCUUGACUGCGAGCGUGACGGCGCGAGCAGGUGCGAAAGCAGGUCAUAGUGAUCCGGUGGUUCUGAAUGGAAGGGCCAUCGCUCAACGGAUAAAAGGUACUCCGGGGAUAACAGGCUGAUACCGCCCAAGAGUUCAUAUCGACGGCGGUGUUUGGCACCUCGAUGUCGGCUCAUCACAUCCUGGGGCUGAAGUAGGUCCCAAGGGUAUGGCUGUUCGCCAUUUAAAGUGGUACGCGAGCUGGGUUUAGAACGUCGUGAGACAGUUCGGUCCCUAUCUGCCGUGGGCGCUGGAGAACUGAGGGGGGCUGCUCCUAGUACGAGAGGACCGGAGUGGACGCAUCACUGGUGUUCGGGUUGUCAUGCCAAUGGCACUGCCCGGUAGCUAAAUGCGGAAGAGAUAAGUGCUGAAAGCAUCUAAGCACGAAACUUGCCCCGA